CAGUAGCCGCGGUAAUACGAGGGGGGCAAGCGUUGUUCGGAUUUAUUGGGCGUAAAGGGUGCGUAGGCGGUUUGGCAAGUCUUGUGUGAAAUCUUCGGGCUCAACCCGAGGCCUGCACGAGAAACUACCGGGCUUGAGUAUUGGAGAGGUGAGUGGAAUUUCCGGUGUAGCGGUGAAAUGCGUAGAUAUCGGAAGGAACACCUGUGGCGAAAGCGGCUCACUGGACAAUAACUGACGCUGAUGCACGAAAGCUAGGGGAGCAAACAGGAUUAGAUACCCCAGUAGUCCCUGUCUCUUAUAC
rnacentral:rRNA from 1 species